rnacentral:rRNA from 1 species
UUAAGCGACUAAGCGUACACGGUGGAUGCCCUGGCAGUCAGAGGCGAUGAAGGACGUGCUAAUCUGCGAUAAGCGUCGGUAAGGUGAUAUGAACCGUUAUAACCGGCGAUUUCCGAAUGGGGAAACCCAGUGUGAUUCGUCACACUAUCAUUAACUGAAUCCAUAGGUUAAUGAGGCGAACCGGGGGAACUGAAACAUCUAAGUACCCCGAGGAAAAGAAAUCAACCGAGAUUCCCCCAGUAGCGGCGAGCGAACGGGGAGCAGCCCAGAGCCUGAAUCAGUGUGUGUGUUAGUGGAAGCGUCUGGAAAGGCGCGCGAUACAGGGUGACAGCCCCGUACACAAAAAUGCACAUGCUGUGAGCUCGAUGAGUAGGGCGGGACACGUGGUAUCCUGUCUGAAUAUGGGGGGACCAUCCUCCAAGGCUAAAUACUCCUGACUGACCGAUAGUGAACCAGUACCGUGAGGGAAAGGCGAAAAGAACCCCGGCGAGGGGAGUGAAAAAGAACCUGAAACCGUGUACGUACAAGCAGUGGGAGCACAGAGCAAUCUGUGUGACUGCGUACCUUUUGUAUAAUGGGUCAGCGACUUAUAUUCUGUAGCAAGGUUAACCGAAUAGGGGAGCCGAAGGGAAACCGAGUCUUAACUGGGCGUUAAGUUGCAGGGUAUAGACCCGAAACCCGGUGAUCUAGCCAUGGGCAGGUUGAAGGUUGGGUAACACUAACUGGAGGACCGAACCGACUAAUGUUGAAAAAUUAGCGGAUGACUUGUGGCUGGGGGUGAAAGGCCAAUCAAACCGGGAGAUAGCUGGUUCUCCCCGAAAGCUAUUUAGGUAGCGCCUCGUGAAUUCAUCUCCGGGGGUAGAGCACUGUUUCGGCAAGGGGGUCAUCCCGACUUACCAACCCGAUGCAAACUGCGAAUACCGGAGAAUGUUAUCACGGGAGACACACGGCGGGUGCUAACGUCCGUCGUGAAGAGGGAAACAACCCAGACCGCCAGCUAAGGUCCCAAAGUCAUGGUUAAGUGGGAAACGAUGUGGGAAGGCCCAGACAGCCAGGAUGUUGGCUUAGAAGCAGCCAUCAUUUAAAGAAAGCGUAAUAGCUCACUGGUCGAGUCGGCCUGCGCGGAAGAUGUAACGGGGCUAAACCAUGCACCGAAGCUGCGGCAGCGACGCUUAUGCGUUGUUGGGUAGGGGAGCGUUCUGUAAGCCUGCGAAGGUGUGCUGUGAGGCAUGCUGGAGGUAUCAGAAGUGCGAAUGCUGACAUAAGUAACGAUAAAGCGGGUGAAAAGCCCGCUCGCCGGAAGACCAAGGGUUCCUGUCCAACGUUAAUCGGGGCAGGGUGAGUCGACCCCUAAGGCGAGGCCGAAAGGCGUAGUCGAUGGGAAACAGGUUAAUAUUCCUGUACUUGGUGUUACUGCGAAGGGGGGACGGAGAAGGCUAUGUUGGCCGGGCGACGGUUGUCCCGGUUUAAGCGUGUAGGCUGGUUUUCCAGGCAAAUCCGGAAAAUCAAGGCUGAGGCGUGAUGACGAGGCACUACGGUGCUGAAGCAACAAAUGCCCUGCUUCCAGGAAAAGCCUCUAAGCAUCAGGUAACAUCAAAUCGUACCCCAAACCGACACAGGUGGUCAGGUAGAGAAUACCAAGGCGCUUGAGAGAACUCGGGUGAAGGAACUAGGCAAAAUGGUGCCGUAACUUCGGGAGAAGGCACGCUGAUAUGUAGGUGAAGUCCCUCGCGGAUGGAGCUGAAAUCAGUCGAAGAUACCAGCUGGCUGCAACUGUUUAUUAAAAACACAGCACUGUGCAAACACGAAAGUGGACGUAUACGGUGUGACGCCUGCCCGGUGCCGGAAGGUUAAUUGAUGGGGUUAGCGCAAGCGAAGCUCUUGAUCGAAGCCCCGGUAAACGGCGGCCGUAACUAUAACGGUCCUAAGGUAGCGAAAUUCCUUGUCGGGUAAGUUCCGACCUGCACGAAUGGCGUAAUGAUGGCCAGGCUGUCUCCACCCGAGACUCAGUGAAAUUGAACUCGCUGUGAAGAUGCAGUGUACCCGCGGCAAGACGGAAAGACCCCGUGAACCUUUACUAUAGCUUGACACUGAACAUUGAGCCUUGAUGUGUAGGAUAGGUGGGAGGCUUUGAAGUGUGGACGCCAGUCUGCAUGGAGCCGACCUUGAAAUACCACCCUUUAAUGUUUGAUGUUCUAACGUUGACCCGUGAUCCGGGUUGCGGACAGUGUCUGGUGGGUAGUUUGACUGGGGCGGUCUCCUCCUAAAGAGUAACGGAGGAGCACGAAGGUUGGCUAAUCCUGGUCGGACAUCAGGAGGUUAGUGCAAUGGCAUAAGCCAGCUUGACUGCGAGCGUGACGGCGCGAGCAGGUGCGAAAGCAGGUCAUAGUGAUCCGGUGGUUCUGAAUGGAAGGGCCAUCGCUCAACGGAUAAAAGGUACUCCGGGGAUAACAGGCUGAUACCGCCCAAGAGUUCAUAUCGACGGCGGUGUUUGGCACCUCGAUGUCGGCUCAUCACAUCCUGGGGCUGAAGUAGGUCCCAAGGGUAUGGCUGUUCGCCAUUUAAAGUGGUACGCGAGCUGGGUUUAGAACGUCGUGAGACAGUUCGGUCCCUAUCUGCCGUGGGCGCUGGAGAACUGAGGGGGGCUGCUCCUAGUACGAGAGGACCGGAGUGGACGCAUCACUGGUGUUCGGGUUGUCAUGCCAAUGGCACUGCCCGGUAGCUAAAUGCGGAAGAGAUAAGUGCUGAAAGCAUCUAAGCACGAAACUUGCCCCGAGAUGAGUUCUCCCUGACUCCUUGAGAGUCCUGAAGGAACGUUGAAGACGACGACGUUGAUAGGCCGGGUGUGUAAGCGCAGCGAUGCGUUGAGCUAACCGGUACUAAUGAACCGUGAGGCUUAACCUU